AUCCCCUCCCUCAAAUGCCGCCGCCCGUCGCUGCCGCCCCCGCCACCUCCCGUCGCGGCUCCUUCGCCCUCGCAGCCACCGCCGAUCCCCUCCCUCAAACGCCGCCGCCCGUUGCUGCCGCCCCCGCCACCUCCCGUCGCGGCCGCCCCCGCCACCUCCCGUCACGGGCAGGCGGGAGGAGCCCUGCCCGGCCAUGGCGACACCACCGGCGGCCUCCUCCUCCCCCUCACCUUCUCUCCCUCUCCCAAGGGAGGGAAGGGAAUGGAAGGGAUCUGAUUGGAGCGGUGGAUCUGCGCCCUUGCCAUCUCUUCUUUUCUUCACGAUUCCAGGAGGAGAUCAAAGUGGGACGUAGACGAGCAGGAGCGCCGCGUCCGCGACAGCGAUGAACGACGACCCAGGUUCUCCUCUCCCAUGGCUGGGACACCAACUGGUGGCGCAACGGACAGCGGGAGAUCGGCUGGUGGCAACGGAUGGCAGGAGGCCGCAGGACCGUGCGAGGAGCAGGUAACCGGAGGAUGUCGCCGGUGGAAAUCUGGCAAGUGGCGGCGGCAUAGAGGGCUUAUGGUUUGAUGUUGGUCUUUUUACCUAUAGCACUGAAUUUCAUGUAUAGGUUGUGCUGAUCCUAAGAUUGCCAAAAACUGCUUCGUAAAAAUCACCCAGGUCUGCUUUUUAUUGUGAUUAUGCAAAUUGCUCGAAACCUGAGUUGUCCUAUUUUGUUGAUGAAGGAAUUGAAAUCUGAAGACAUGGUGAUUUUUACCCAAUGGGUUAUGCCCUUGAGCACGAAGAGCUUUUGAACUCUGAGGUUCAGGACCACGCGUGCUUCUCACAUUUAUUGAGACAGAGAGUAUUAAUCAAAAGCGGUUCAAGUUUCCACAAUGAGCUAUACAUCAUCUAAACUCACAUGGAUAUACCAGGUCUGCCUUUCCCUACAAUUUAAGCCUUUGUUUUGGCAGGUAUCAGUCACCUGGUGCUAAACUUGGUGCUUAAUGAUCAACUAGAACAAAGUUUCAUAGCCUUCCAGAUUUGUCAAAUCUACAAUAACAGGAUAAUUCCUGUUAGACAUGUUAUUCUAUUGGUACAUGUCAUAUAACAAAAUUCUUGUAUUUUGGAAGGAGAAAACAUUGAGUGGAGCAAUUAUGCAAUUCAAGUGGCAUGGUCAUCAAAGGUUUUGUUUUUUCUUAAUCGUGACAUGUGUUAAUAUUGUGCAAAUCAGAAUAUCAUUUUUUAGGUUUGCAAAUAAAAUUAACCUGAAUAAAGUAUUUUAAACUUAGUGAGCAUAAUAGUGUUUUGUAGUGUGAGGAUAAUAAGGUGUAGUGAGGCUGCUGCUCACCGGUGGCUCGCCGGCCAUCCGAGAGCCAGAAUUGCGGCCCCACGCGAGGGAAAGAUCAGCGUUGCUGCAACCACGGCAGGACACCCACCAUGCGCGUACCAUACAGGCAGCAUCAGCCUCACUUCACCUUGGAUGACAUGACGAUUAUGAAAUAUUCAGUCAUCCCCCUUGGGUCUACCUGUUGGACACUUGGACCUACUCAUGUGUUUGAGAUGAUUGUGCAGAAAAGCUGAAAAACGGGAUAAAAUUCUAUGUGAGAGAUGACCGCUAAAGGAGUGCGACGCCACCAUCCUGUGCCACAAACCAUACCAAGAAUGGCGGGUUAUGGAUAGAGUUCAUUUGAUCCAUCUGAUAAAAAUACCUAUUGGGGAAUAAGCAUGAAAAGUAAUCAACCACUCUUUCCGCAGUGGAGUUCGGCCGUGAUGAUCAGAAGUUUAGGACCACACUGUAGUCAAGAAAAAGGAAUGAUCUUCGAGUUGAAAUGGAUUUGAUGAGGGAAGUCUGCAAUGCAGACUGUGUUAAGUGUACCCGCUCCAGAUUUCAUCGACAGUAAAUGGUCCACUGCUAUCGGCAGGAGGAAUAUGCAUGCGUUGGUGGGUGCUGGAGAUUCCCUGCAAUACCCGAGGAUCCGAUGGCGAGCCGUAGGUCGGGGAAGUCGUCGGCAUACAUAUAAGGAGAUGGAGGUGGAAGUGGCGGUGGAGGGAGACGGGCAUUCACUACUCGUCGGAGGGUGAGGGCAUGGAGGACAACCGGCACGACAAUUACCACGCCUUCCUCCCGUCGAAUCACUCAAGCACGACGUCCUGGUCCUCUCUAUCCAUUGGCCCCCUCCAACAUCUACCACGAUGACCACAUGUUGUUUGCGUAGCAGCAACGGCGGCCAUCCAUGAUCUUCUUUUGUGCCGACCUGCUAGAAACAGGUUGGGCUAUAGACAACUAGAGAUUGGUCACCUGUCUAGCAGCUCUUUUCUGAAAACAAAGCCCAGGUCUAUGUGUUCAAAAUCAUGAAGGAGGAUGUCAAAGUGUUUCUGCAGCGCAUCAGGCGGAAGAAAAAGCAACAUGAAGUUCCCGUCUACAUCAAACUGCUUUCACUUAUAUUCUGCCGAAUUUGUUCCAUCUAUAGGACAGUACAUGGAGAUUAUCUAUAAGGGUUAUGUCCCGUACAAGGAUAUUAUCUUAUAGGACAGGCAUAUCAGCCCCCAUUCAGACAUAGCAGAUAUUCAACAGAAGAAGUUCCUCCACUGCUACUGGCCAAACUCUAAGCAAAAAGACCUUCCACUUUCCUUGCUAAUGGGGAGAGGCGCCAUACUUAACGCAGGUGAUGGCAAAGUAUCUCAAGUUUGCAUACCAAUGAUAUUUAUCGGACUCGAAAGAUGAUGCAUCCAUUCAAAUUGGGUAACGCUUCUACAUGGCAUUCGGUGUAACCUGCCAAAUAUCUCUUAGGCAUAACUGAUUAUUAUUUUUAAGUAUGGACCCAAAUAAUUCACCCAUGACAUGUUCUUGAAAUUAAUUUAUUCUACUGAUUAUUCAGAACAUGAGUGUUAGAUUUUGUAGUCCAAAAUGAUGAUAAUGAAGUUGAGAGAAGAGAGUA